rnacentral:precursor_RNA from 14 species
CCCCGUGGGCCCUUCUUGCUGCUGACAGCGGGGGAUUCCUGGAGAUGGGAUUUUAUUUUGGCAGCCAAUAAAUCACAUUGCCAGGGAUUUCCAACUGUCGGCCGCCCGGUCAGCGGCGCAACUU